UUCUACGGCCAUACCACCCUGAAAGGGCUUCAUCUCGUCCGAUCUCAGAAGCUAAGCAGGGUUGGGCCUGGUUAGUACUUGGUGGGAGAAA
rnacentral:rRNA from 1 species